UCUAUCGUGAGGUGGAAUCUGAAAGAAGAUGGAGGCAAAAUCUUGGUCCGAGGAACAUGAAUCACAUCAGGUAUAUAAUGGGGACGAGUGUGCAAAGCAAUAUGAAGUCAUAAGAGGUUGUGGAAUGAAACUAUUAUAUGUAAAUGUGGCAGAUAUAUGGAAGGAAAGAGAUAUGAC
rfam:Coprobacillus sp. CAG:183 genomic scaffold, scf570